AGCACUUUUAAAAGAGUGCAGCUAUAGUAUCCAUUUUACUGGUGGGAAAUAAGGACCAGUGGCUCACCCCCAAACCAUGCACCUCUAAAAUGGCAAAGCUGGGAUUUGAACCUGGCUGCUCUCAGGUCGGACACUGGUCCCUCCUUGGGAAAUGAUCCAUCUGAAGCUAUGAAGGAGACUAAAGCUGACACUCUGGUCAUCUUUUGAAGAUUUGAGCUAACUUGAGGGGCAGCAGAGUCCACACCCUACAGUGCAGAGGAGCACAACCCAAGAACUUUCACUGAGACGGGAGGAUCGAUCAGCUGGAGGUGUUUCCUGACCUCACAGACCCUGUUUUAUGUCUGCUGGUCCGAAAGCAGCCUCUUUGACAAAAUGGUCACUUCACUAUUACUCUGAGGAAACACCACUCCUGCUGCUAAAAACCCAACUGCUGCUUCAGGAGUUCUUGCAGUAGUCACAACUACUUCAGGCAACCUGCACCAGCGUUGGAAGGCUCUGUGCAGGUAGCCUAAGCCUUGAUGAACUUCAGAUGACCCUGGUCACUCUGUGGGGGCAGGAAGGGGAAUGCCUCCCCAGUGACUCAAGCCUUUGGUUGGUGAAAUGCAAGGAAAUGUCUGGCACAUGCUCCUGGGCUUGAAGACUUGGUUCCCAGUUGGUAGUGGGGCUUUGAGAAGUUGUGGUCCCUUUGGCAUGUAAGGACGAUCAGAAAAGCAGGCAGGAAGAGACCUUCUGGGAUCAGAAAGGACCUCGUACCUUUCUUCAGACAAGAAGGCAAGCAACAGGACAGUGGAGCUGUCAGCAGAAGCAGGGAACCCAGCCCAGCACUGCUGCCAGACUGACUAUACGGAGGUUCCUGAAACUAUCCCCCAAAUGAAGCUGGGUCCUUGACCAGGCAGAGGAAAGAAUUUCAGGAUAAGUAGAGUUAAGCAAAGCCAGUGAGUUUAUUAAGUGGAGAUAAGCAGCAACAGUACAUGCUUAGUAAAUGUAAACAUUUUAAAGAGUGAUACCUAAGAAAAUAACAUUAGUAUAUGUCCUAGACACAGAGCACACUCCUAAGACAGAAAAGGGCAGUACACGCCUAAUACACCGGUAAGCUUGCAACAAAAUCAUGUUUAGGUGUCUGUAAUUCUGUGGCUUUUGAAGUUACAUUGCUCAAAGAACAUAGGAUAAUUUAAACAAGAU